GUUGCCGAAUCGCCUCAAUGCAAUUUCACUCCCAGCGACAUUGACUCAAAGCCGCAGUCUUCAACGCCACAUGUCCAUCUCUCUAAUUACUUGAGUGAGGUCAAAGCCAGGCUCAAACCGGAGCGUAACAGGAGCAGCAACAGCAACAGCAGCAGCAGAAGUGAUAUAACAUACCCACUUUCUCAUCUUCGUUUCCCGCCUUGAAUGCGCCGGACCAACAGCCUUUGAAAGCCGCUUCCCUCGAGGAAAUCC